GACGAACGCUGGCGGCGUGCUUAACACAUGCAAGUCGAACGGAAAGGCCCUGCUUGCGGGGUACUCGAGUGGCGAAAGGGUGAGUAACACGUGGGUGAUCCGCCCUGUACUUCGUGGUAAGCCUGGGAAACUGGGUGUAAUAUCCGAUAGGAGCCCUCCUUCGGGAGGGGGUGGGAAGGUUUUUUCGGUGGGGGAGGAGCUCGCGGCCUAUUAGUUUGUUGGUGGGUUGAUGGCCUACCUAGGCGGCGACGGGUAGCCGGCCUGAGAGGGUGGACGGCCACAUUGGGACUGAGAUACGGCCCAGACUCCUACGGGAGGCAGCAGUGGGGAAUAUUGCACAAUGGGCGCAAGCCUGAUGCAGCGACGCCGCGUGGGGGAUGACGGCCUUCGGGUUGUAAACUCCUUUCGCUAGGGACGAAGCUUUUUGUGACGGUACCUAGAUAAGAAGCACCGGCUAACUACGUG
rnacentral:rRNA from 1 species